UUCACAAUUCAGUAUUGUUCUCGAACUCGAAGCCUCGAUAGAACAGUCGGUAGUUUAAUGUUUAUCAUUGUGUGCUCACUGUUCGUGAAAGAUUAAACUCAAAUUCAUUAUUUUCUGAGAAAAGUAUUCGUAGAACUAAGUUAUUUUUCAUAACAAUCAAGGAUGUCGCACAGAGCAUUUACGCCAUGUUCUCCUUCGAUGGCUCACUAUCCAUAUUCUCCAUCUUCUAAUUAUGGUUUUCCAGUGGACAAUUAUAGUGAUUCAAAUGCUCCCAACUAUCCUCAUCCUGAUGCCUCAUUUGCCGAUCUGCAAGCAUUCUGCAACAGGAGUAGAAAUUCUACAGCAGGAAGUGCAUAUGCUCCAUCUCUUCCGGACUCGGAUGUACAAUCUCAGUACUUUGUAGCAGAUUUGGUAACAACCAAUGAUGCUUACUUUCCCAGGAGUAGGAACUCCAUGGCAGGAAGUCUUGCUAACUCCCUUCCGGAUUUUGACACAUCACAAUACGAAACCAAUGAUGACGGCGUUGAUUACGGCUACGUACCUGUGGGCAACGAAAAUGGCGGUGAAGAUGAGGACGAUGAUGAUGGAGCGGAUUGGUUUGACAUGGAAGCUCUGACUGGUUUAAGCAUCGAUGAAUUAGACGAGAAUGGUUUGGGCGAUCCUUCAUGGAGGUUUGAAUUCCCUCUACCUAUGCUACCCGUCGUGCCUGUGUUGGAAUUGAAGACGGAAAUAUAUGAUGGCCAAACAUUUUACGUUGAUGAUGAAGGGUAUGUACAAGCAUAUACCCAAGGAGAGUGUCGAGUUCCUUUCACUGGAAAAGCAUCCAUCGGAGUUUGGUUUGGACCAAACCACCAAGCGAAUGUAAGCGAACGUCUUCAUCGCGGUCGGCGAACUCAAGAAGCAGCUCGGUUUGCUGCAGUAAUUGAAGCCAUUAGAGUAGCUGGAGCCCACGGGAUUAAAAAAUUGCAGAUCAAUACGGAUUAUGAAAAUAUAAUCCGUUUCAUGAUUUACUUCAUCUUGAAGUGGGAGCAAAAUGACUGGAUGACAUUGAGAGGACAUCAUGUCAAGAACAAAGUGGUGAUUCUGGAAUUAGACUACUUUUCACGACUUCUUGAUAUUAAAUGGAAUUAUGUCCCCUACUACGAGGGUGCCGAAGGCAAUUUGGAAGCAGCUCAUCUUGCACUGGAGGCUCAUGAUCUGCAAUUACCACAAGUGAGAAAAACUGCAGAAGAGAUGGAGAUGGACGUUGUUCAGGAUGAGCAACCUAAAGGAUCAACUUCAAACGAAGAGGUUACGAAAAAGCGACGGUUUGUUCCUAUUGUGUAUUAAGUUCUGUGUUUCGGUUAUCGUUGGAUGCCCGAAAUUGUUUCUUCGUUUUAGAAACAUUGUGUGCUCCAAUGUUAACAAUUAUUUGCUAAUUUAAAUCCAGCCUAACCAAUCCUGGUUAAUUCGUAAUCAUUAAGCGUCUGGUAACAGUUUAUAUUAACCAAGAAAUUGUUUUUGUUAUUAUUUUUGAAAAAAUACGUGAAUACCCAACAGAAGAAUUGCUGUAAUCUUCAUUACCUUAUCAGUCUUUCUAUAGGGAUAUAGUCGUUAAAGUUCCGCCUUCUUGUUUUUGGCCGUCUUUUUAGUUAAACAUCAACAGAAUAUUAUUGACGUUUACUACGCCUACCUCAAAAAUCUCUAUUAAAGGGUCUGUAAAGCCAAAUCAUUGACAGACUGCAAUCCCACUUUCACAUCAUCUAUAAGAAACAUCAUCCAACUCAUCCAGAAUUUAACCUGUCAACAGUAUUGUUACUGAAAGAAAAAUGUGUAACGCCAGUUCCAAUGUUAAGGUAGAAGAAUUACGAAUUGGAUUGUUUCGUGUGCACUGGGAUUUAGAAAAGAAUAUGCGAAAGGAAUGCGGUUUCUUCAAAAAUAAGCUUCAUUUGCAUGGAUCCCAGUCUGGCCGAAUUUACAACAUCAUCUAUAUAUUUGAAUCACAACAUUUUGAUGCACUCUACCCUUACAACUUCGGUAUUCAACUCGAAGAGAUAUCGUGCAUUUGUGAUUCCAGCGUUGCUGAAACUAAUGAAUCUGCUGCGAAAUAUCAGCAAGAGGCAGAACGCCAAAAGCUUGACGAUACUUCAUUUCUCCCCACAGAGACUGAAAGAAAAAACGUACCUCCAGUUCGUGUGUGGUUUGAAUUUGAAGAGGCUAAUACCACCACUGGCUUAGAAUUGGAGUACGACAAGGAUGCUAAUCACUGGAAAGUUUAUUUUUUCGGUCAAAGACAACCGUUUGGUAUUACAUUGUUUAUGGAUUUUGGGACCAAGGAAAUGGACGAGAAAAUAAUCAUUAACGGACUAGAGGGAAUGUUUGUCACCCAAACUCUUUGUGACGUCCAUUUCCAGUUUAAAGACGGACAAUCUGUUGGUGCCCACAUCCUAAUCCUUUCGGCCGGAAGUCCCGUUUUUUCAGCCAUGUUCCAGUCAGGGCUUUUAGAAUCAAAAUCCCGAAUAGUGGACAUCGACGACAUUGAAUUUGAUGUGUUCCGGCAACUGCUCAUCUAUUUGUAUACAGGAAUGGCUCCCAAAGUGACAGAGGAAUCCAUCACUCAGUUGCUCUUCGUGGCGUCUGAUAAAUACGGCGUGGAAGCUCUCAAGAAUAAAUGCGUUAAUGUGUUGAAGACAACUGAAAAUCAGCAACGCGAUCUCAAUUUUGGUUUGGGCUCACUUCCAUUCCAUUCCAAAGCUCUUAAAAAAAGCUAUGAAAUUUGUGUUGAUAAAUUGCAGUAAGCUCUCCCGUCAGCCCGAAUGGAUGGAAUUGAUGAAGAACUAUCCGGAACUAUGUCUCGAUAUCACCCAACGCAUCAGCGAUCUUACAUGAACUGUUAUUUUUGUUUUUUUAUUUUCGUAUUAUUUUUCCACUACCAUUAGAAGUGUCAUUCCAAUGAUAAAUGUGAACUCUUAAAUUUGGCUUUCCUAGAUUCUGAAUAAUUUGUUUCGCCCAUAAUAUUGUUUGAUGAUAAUCACAUCCAUGGUAAUCAGUCCGAAAGUUGUUGGAUAUAUAACUAGGUGAAUAGAAAGAGUCGAUUUGUUAGGUGAUAGUA
rnacentral:misc_RNA from 1 species